CAUCGUGAGGUGGAAUCUGAAGGAAGCUGGAGGCAAAACUUUGACCUGACGAACAGAAAUCAUGAAGGUUGUAUAUGAGGGUAAGACUGCCACACAAGCCGAAGCCCAAUAGCUACACGGAAUCAUAUGCAAUAAUCAUGGCAGGUACAUGAGGCGAAAGAGU
rnacentral:ncRNA from 1 species